AUUUUGCAGGAAUGUUGUUUGGGCUGGCAGACCAUCACAACACCAAAGUGUACCUGGGAAAAGAAGAAGCCACUCUAAUGGGCUCAAAUAAAACUCUGGGAGAAAAAGCACAGCUCUACUCAUCGCUCAUCUCCGUGGCUUUGUGCCCUCCCUCCCCUCCAAACAUCCAAUCACUAUACACAAUGAAUGACCUGAUUCUUAGACAUCAGCCUGUAGGAAUGCAUGAUGCAAAGUGUGGAUCAGACUGGAUCAAGCAGCAUUAACGUGGACCAUCUGAGAUCAUCACGACAAGAAGUCCAUAACUUGAAGAAAGAACAGACCUCUGCCUGGCUGGACUACCAACAAAAUAGCAGAGAAAUAGGCGCAGUGUUGUUUUGCAGCCCCAGAGGUGUGGCGGAUGCUAAGGGUAAUGAAUGAUAUAUGAAGCCGAUCCUGAUCCUACCGCU